AUCUUUCCACAGAUUGACAAAAAUCUUGAUCAACAGAUGAACACCACAAUGUGCAGAAUGUGAUCAAUCAGAAAGCACGAAAUUCUUCUCCUUCAGAACCUCUUCAAAGAAAGAUCUCCACCGUCUUCUUGAUGAGUUCUUGGAGCACUUAAUCUCAGGAUUCUAAUUUGAAAACAGAAAAUGAAAAUGCCAUUUUAUCGAAAGUUCUAUGUGAUCAAUUGAGUCACGUCUAUUUAUAGUUUUCUGUAAAUCAGACUCUCCUGUAGUCGACUGUGCUACUAAUGAAUACGAUUGUCAUCAGACAGUUAUAAUAGUUAAGCAAAUUAGGAGCAGUCAUGAUAAGAAAAUUGAUUUUGC
rnacentral:lncRNA from 1 species